GAAAUGCGAUAAGUAAUGUGAAUUGCAGAAUUCAGUGAAUCAUCGAAUCUUUGAACGCACCUUGCGCUCCUUGGUAAUCCGGAGGAGCAUGCCUGUUUGAGUGUCAUUAAAUUCUCAACCCUUUCAGCUUUUGCGAGUUGAAUUGGCUUGGAUUGUGGGGGUUUGCGGGCUUCUCAGAAGUCGGCUCCUCUUAAAUGCAUUAGCAGAACCUUUGUGGACCAGCUUUGGUGUGAUAAUUAUCUACGCCAUGGUUGUGAAGCAGCUUUACAUGGGGUUCAGCUUCUAACUGUCCAUUGACUUGGACAACUUUUGACAUUUUGACCUCAAAUCAGGUAGGACUACCCGCUGAACUUAA
rnacentral:misc_RNA from 1 species